rnacentral:lncRNA from 1 species
GUUUGAUUGUUUAAUGAUCUUCGGAUGUUUGAGGUUGUUGUGGCCUGAGGAGGGUGGCCGAGUGCCACCAAGGACUGUUGGCAUUGACUUGGUAAAAAGGAAUGCUAUAUAGUCUGUAACUGCCGAGUGGUGCUGUGUGUGAGCUGGUUAUUGUUAUGGUAACGAUUGGGCAGUGAUUGUCUGAGAGUUUUAUGGAUGUAAAAAUAUUUUUUGAUAUUAAGGUUAUUCACACUUUAGUAAUCUAAAUGGCAUAUAUCUAUCACAUAAUUAGUUACUACUGAUAUUGUAAUGUUAAAUUAUAUAAUUACCAUCAUAUACCAUGUUAAGCUUUGCAACUUAAGCUUUUUUCACACUGCCAAUGACGACAACCAAAGACUCAGUCUGUUGUUUUGUCAAGGUCAUUUAUAUGUUCACACUUGUUUCUAUUAGUUGUUGUUGUUGUCCUGAAACGGUGUCACUAGUCAUUCUGAUCUUGACCAAGAUUCAAAAUUUAGUUGUUGUCUUUCUACUUCAUUACCCAAUCAGGAAGAAUCAUUUUUAUAAAGUAAAAUGGAGGAAAUUUUGAUUUUGGUCGUAUGAGAGAAACCUUGGCAGUAUGAUGCUUCUUGUAAGGAUUAUUGGAAUUUAUUUAAAAAAAAACAGCUCGAAG